rnacentral:rRNA from 1 species
GACGAACGCUGGCGGCGCGCUUAACACAUGCAAGUCGAACGGAAAGGCCUGCUUUCCCUUGUGGAUUGCGGGUACUCGAGUGGCGAACGGGUGAGUAACACGUGAGUGAUCUGCCCCCAACUUGGGUAUAAGCCUGGGAAACUGGGUCUAAUUCCCGAUAGGACUGCAGGGUGGUGCCUGUGGUGGAAAACGAUUUUCUAGUGGUUGGGGAUGAGCUCGCGGCCUAUCAGCUUGUUGGUGGGGUAAUGGCCUACCAAGACGGCGACGGGUAGCCGGCCUGAGAGGGUGGACGGCCACAUUGGGACUGAGAUACGGCCCAGACUCCUACGGGAGGCAGCAGUGGGGAAUAUUGCACAAUGGGCGGAAGCCUGAUGCAGCGACGCCGCGUGGGGGAUGACGGCCUUCGGGUUGUAAACUCCUUUCGACCGCGAGGAAGCCACCUGGUUGGAAGGGUGGUGACGGUAGUGGUAGAAGAAGCACCGGCUAACUACGUG